GAUAUUACGCUAAUGAUCUGCCACGCAAAUCAACGUCCCGGAUUGGGUGUUCUGCCGAGCAGACGCUUCAUGGUCUGUCAAUUUCCAUCCCCGAUCCACGCCCGCAGCUCCGGAUUUCCGGAUUGAUUCCACUGGAAUCGUGGCUCCUCGACCCAUUUUUCUUUGGCCCCACAUCGGAAAGAAUGGAUCCGCAACAACCUUGCCCACCAUGGAGGCGGUGAUAGCGGCGACGGAAGAGAGCGUGCGUGCCAAUGGGGCUACGAAGACGGUGGCCGUGGCCGAGGACGGGCGAUAUCACCAGGGCGACAACAAUUACGGCGGCGGCAACAACUAUGGCGGCCUGCGGUGAGCGUAGCAACUACGGCGGCCGCGGCGGCCGAGGAGGAGGAGGAGGAGGCCAGAGUCAGCCGCCCCCGACAUGCACCAAGCCGCACUGCCGCAGGGCCUCCCCUCUUCGAGCGCUACCACGCAGAGGCAACACAGGAGUAAUGCUACAUCAACGGGGGAUUUUAAUACGGGGUUCACGGGCUAGAUGAGGUGGACCAGUAGAAUUGCAUAUUAGGAGGGGAAGGCCCCACAGCCCCUGAAAAUCAGGAGGGGCAGAGAGAUUUGUUUAGAAGUAAGCCUCGUAAAACGCCGAUGAUUGUCCGUGACUCUAGCAUUAUUGGGCAACACAGCUCGGGAAGAAGUUUCAGGCGAUGGACAUCAGUCGUGCCGCCGUAGAUCCAAUCGACCGGCGAUGGAGCAGUUAUUGGCAUUCCUCCGCGCGGCACCAGAUUUUGAAUUCAGUGUGGUAGAGAACACCCACAAAAUCAUCACAAGGAUUCAUGAACCUACUUUCGAAUGGAAGAAUGUGAUGUUCAAUUGCCAUUAACCCGAUCGAUCUCUUGCAUGGGGAAGGGGAGACCGAGGAGGAAAUGGCGACCAAGAGGUGCGCAGGCACCCUGGGUGACAAGGGCCUCAGGGGGGAGAAGGUGUUCCUUAGUGCCGAUCUGAACGUUCUGCUGGACGACGGCCUGAACAUCACUGGUGACAACCGCAUCCGCGCCUCCAUGCCGUCCAUCAAGUUCCUCAUGGGGAAGGGCGCCAAGGUUGUCCUGGUCAACCAUCUGGUGAGCGCACGCUUCUGCCAUUCAGUCAGCCUCCCGUGUGGCGCACGACUGUAGCUGCUUGAUGUCGUGAGCAACACCACUGGAUGGCCCAGCCACCCCUUCAUCUCAGACCUCGCUGAAGACUAACCAACUAGACGCAGAUCCAUUUGAUUCUACUAAGUGUCCCAGGCUGUGUAUGCUAGCCUCCUCCGCUACAUUUGCAGGCCGCCGAGUCCAACUCCUCUGCGGUGCAGAUCACCCGCCCACCGCGCUGCGCAACUCACGAUGCAGGCGGCCCUCCUCCACGGUUCAUCAUUCAUGCGAGGGAUAUGAAAGAUGAAACAAAAGUAAAAGGUGUUUAUGCCUACGGGCUAUGGAGCAUCAUAAUGUUGGAGGAGUGUCGUGCUGAUUUUAUAAAUCCAGUAGCAUCCUACUACUCGCAGUUUUUGUGGUUCAAUCAAAUCAAUAGUACAAUUUUCAAACGAAAUAUGUAUAUGACAACCGUGUGGGAGAUUGUGAAACUGCCACACACAUCGAGCGCCAUCAGUUCCCUCCCGAUCUUCUUCCUUUCCUGCACGAUUUUCAGCAAAAAUAAUGCUUGAACUAGGAUUUGAUCUUUGGUCUGCAGGUAAUCAACAAAGGGAGCUAACCACUUCACCUAUGACACUCAUUGUUGAACAAGCUAAGGGAAAUACUGUUUUUGACAUGUUUUGCCUUUAAUAUGUUAGCACUGAAAAACUUUUUGUUUCAAGCAUCGUGGUAACUUUGAUCAUUGAGAAUAAAUUUGUUGAACCCGUCCCUCGGUAAUUUCUGUAAAUAGCACGAUAACAUUCACGCCAUAGACCUGAUAAUUUAGAUACAAAAAUCGUGGUAACUUUAACCAUUGGAAAGACAAAUGUGAAAAGAUACCAGAUAAUUUAUGUGUAAAUAGAUGCACAUAUGAUAAAUGAGGUAGAAACACCAUGGUAGUAACUUUAAUCGUAGGGAUUUUUUUUUGAAAAGAUACUCCGAUAUCUUCUGUGUAAAUAGCACGGCAGUAUACCUCCCU